AAAUUUAUUAAUCAUAAUUCAUAAAACAAAGUAAGUCUUUUUUAAGAAUUGCAGAAUUGCUUAUAUUACGUUGAAAAGCGAAUAUAUAAUUUUUCGUAAUUUUUAUUAAUAUAGCAAUUUGCCGAAAAACUUUGAAACCAACAAAAUUUUGUCCCCCUUCAGUUAAAAUAACUUUUUCUGAACAUGCACGAAAUUGUCGAUUUUAAUUAAUAAAUGAAACUGAACAAAUUUGAACGUAGAUUAACACUAGUUAGCACUUUAGUUAAAAAUACUUUACGACUAUUAUAAAUGUCAACUUUUAACACCGGUAAGUAGAAGUUUCUCUUUUAGUGACAGUUUUACACAAUGUUUAAUUGCAAACUUUGACUUCUGUCUGAUUAUUAUCUGUAAAAAUAUACUUUUACACAGAAAUUCUAAAAAGAAUUUUUUUUAUAUUUUGUUUAAAAUUUUUAUAAACUACAUCAACGUAAGAUAUAUUAUGUGCUUAUUAAAUAACAUAUUAUUGAAAUAUUUUAUAAAGCCUUCCUCAAGUAACAUUAGUUUCGGAUAAAUAGAAAUCUAUAAUUCCUCACACAUUAUUUUAUUAUUUAUUGUUGAUAUUUGCGCCUAAUACGUAAUAACGGUAGAGUGAAGAGAGUUUUCAGGCUAAUAGCUACACAAUGACCGAUUCUAGAGGUAAUAACAACAAUCUUCACUUUUUGUUAUUAAAACUCACCAACUUUUAGACCCGUUUAUUAUGUUGAGAAGGAUAUUUAUUGACAUCAACAGUUACAAAAUAACAAAACUAUGCGACUUUUUUGUUGUUACAUUUCAUUCGCUCGUUCUUUGUUUACAACUAUAUUACACAAUCAGAAACUUUGACGUAAAUUUUUUGAGCAGAUAUGGCCAGACUACGGUAAUUUUUCUGUUUAUGACUGUCUCGGCAUUUCUUUCUGGGGUUUUGGAAAAGGAUAUUUACAGAAUUCUAACAUUUUCUAAGACAUUUUUGUGGUCGCUUGAUGUAAUAGGAAAAGAUGCUCGAAUGAAGCUUGAGAGAAAAUGUCAGAUGAUAAAUAUGUGUAUAACUUGCCUUCUGCUGUUUUUGUCAACUGCACUGGUUAUCAAUAUGCCAUUUUUGGGAAACCCGAGACAAUUUUUUAUUUCUAUUCAUGUUUUCGAGGAGUAUUUUGGCGAAUGGUCGUCUUUGUUAAAUGUGUUAUAUUUCGCUUCGAUGCCAUAUUUAGCCUACCAUGCCACCAAGCCGUGUUUUCUUUUUGUUUAUGCAACAUUGCAUAUGCAGUUACAGUUCUCCCUCAUUGAAGAAUAUUUGUUUCAAGUCUAUGAGAUUGAUUAUUUGAAAAGUUGGAAGUACUUACAAGAUGUUCGGUAUCAACGAGAAAUCGGAAACGCUUUACGACGUUGUAUAAUACACCACAUUGCUUUGAAAAAGUCUUAAAUCACUGAUAUUAAAAAAAAAUAUAUUGAAGUAAUUAUUUAUAGGUUGAUCAAAAUAAUUGUUGAUAUUGUACUGGUGUACAUGCCAUUUAUUUUAAUACUGGGUGUGCUUCUUUUGAUUACUUGUUUUGCAUUCAUUAUAAAUGUAAGGUAACUACAUUUUUUUUUAAAUAUACAAAUAAAACAUGUUUUAGUAUGCGAACACUACGACCAACACUAUAAAGAUACAAAUGUUUAUGUUUAUGGCAAGUGCUUUAUUAAUUGCUAUACUGUUUUGUUGGAAUGGUCAACAACUGAUAGAUGUGACGAGCAAUAUUUUUUUUACUUUGGGUGGAGCUCCUUGGUACUACUGGAAUCGUGAAAACAUUAGAAUUCUUUUGAUGUCUAUAAUGAAUUGUACCAAAAAUGAGAGCAUUGUUUUGGCUGGGAUUUGUUUAGAUUACAAAAUGUUUGUUUCGAUUUUUCGAACCUCUGUCUCAUAUGCUCUAGUUUUGUUUAAUCUACGCAAACGUAGUCUCGUUUGAAGCAACUGGAAAUAAAAUACUUUCACAAUUUUUUAUAAAUAUGCACUUUGUUGUAGUUUUUAGAUUUAAUAUUAAACGUG